AUUGAACGCUGGCGGCAUGCUUUACACAUGCAAGUCGAACGGUAACAGGCCGCCAGGUGCUGACGAGUGGCGAACGGGUGAGUAAUGCAUCGGAACGUGCCCAGUCGUGGGGGAUAACUACUCGAAAGAGUAGCUAAUACCGCAUACGAUCUAUGGAUGAAAGCGGGGGACCGUAAGGCCUCGCGCGAUUGGAGCGGCCGAUGUCAGAUUAGGUAGUUGGUGGGGUAAAGGCUCACCAAGCCAACGAUCUGUAGCUGGUCUGAGAGGACGACCAGCCACACUGGGACUGAGACACGGCCCAGGCUCCUACGGGAGGCAGCAGUGGGGAAUUUUGGACAAUGGGCGCAAGCCUGAUCCAGCAAUGCCGCGUGCAGGAAGAAGGCCUUCGGGUUGUAAACUGCUUUUGUACGGAACGAAACGGCUCUGGUUAAUACCCGGGGCUAAUGACGGUACCGUAAGAAUAAGCACCGGCUAACUACGUG
rnacentral:rRNA from 1 species